CCGCGGGAGGUGCGCCUAGGGCUCGCGCCGCCGCCGCCGCCCGAUCGGACCCCCGCCCCGCGCGCGCUGCCACCCAGAGGCCGGACCCCGAGCCCGCCUGCCGGCGGCACCACCACCCGCGCCAUGACCGAGAAAACACUAGAAAUUUACUCUGUGGAGCUCAGUGGAAUGAAAGACAUCGAACAAACAGACAAGGGGAACGGCAAGGAGAAGUACAGAGGCCUGAAGAACUGCUUCCAACCCAAAAAGAAUCACCGUAAGGAGGAGCUUACGAAAGAACUGGAUCUGGAUGACCACAAACUCAGCAUUAAGGAACUGGAAAAGAAAUAUGGUACAAACAUCAUUACAGGUCUCUCCAGUGCCCAAGCUGCUGAGCUCCUGGCUCGGAAUGGGCCCAAUGCCCUCACUCUUCCCAAGGAAACACCGGAGAUCAUCAAGUUCUUCAAGCAGAUGGUGGGGGGGUUCUCCAUCCUUCUGUGGAUAGGAGCCAUCCUGUGCUGGAUUGCAUAUGGGAUCCAGUACUCCAUGAAUACAUCCUCAUCCCUAAACAAUGUAUACUUGGGCUGCGUGCUUGCCUCGGUCAUUAUUUUAACAGGGAUCUUCGCUUACUACCAAGAGGCAAAAAGCACCAACAUCAUGGCCACCUUCAAUAAGAUGAUCCUGCAGCAAGCUCUUGUCAUUCGAGAUUCAGAGAAGAAGACAAUCCCUGCAGAGCAACUGGUGGUGGGAGACAUAGUGGAGAUUAGAGGAGGAGACCAGAUCCCUGCAGACAUCAGGUUGUUGUCUGUUCAGGGCUGUAAGGGAAGCGUAGAUAACUCAUCUCUCACUGGAGAAUCUGAACCCCAGCCCCGCUCCUCUGAGUUUACCCACGAUAGUCCCCUGGAAACAAAGAACAUUGGCUUCUAUUCUACAACCUGUCUGGAAGGCACAGCGACUGGCAUGGUCAUCAACACGGGCGACCGCACCAUCAUUGGUCAGAUCGCCUCACUGGCUUCAGGAGUCGGAAAUGAGAAGACACCCAUUGCCAUUGAGAUCCAGCACUUUGUUCAUAUCGUGGCCGGAGUGGCCGUCUCCAUCGGCAUCCUUUUCUUCAUCACCGCAGUAUCCCUGAAGUAUCAGGUCCUGGACUCCAUCAUCUUCCUCAUUGGCACAUUGUGGCCAAUGUGCCUGAGGGUCUCCUGGCCACUGUCACUGUGACUCUGUCGCUGACAGCUAAACGGAUGGCCAAGAAGAACUGCUUGGUGAAGAACCUGGAAGCAGUGGAGACCCUCGGCUCCACCUCUAUCAUUUGCUCAGACAAGACUGGGACUCUGACCCAGAACAGGAUGACUGUGGCCCAUCUGUGGUUCGACAAUCAGAUCUUCAUAGCUGACACCAGUGAAGACAAUUCAAACCAAGUCUUUGAUCAAAGCUCUGGAACCUGGGCCUCCUUAUCAAAGAUAAUAACAUUGUGUAACAGAGCUGAGUUCAGACCAGGACAAGAAAGCGUCCCCAUCAUGAAGAGAGUUGUGGCUGGAGAUGCCUCAGAAACUGCUCUUUUGAAGUUCUCAGAGGUCAUUUUGGGUGAUGUGAUGGAAAUUAGAAAAAGAAACCACAAAGUAGCUGAAAUUCCUUUUAACUCAACCAACAAAUUUCAGCUCUCCAUACACAAAACGGAUGACCCCAAUGACAAGCGCUUCCUCAUGGUGAUGAAAGGGGCCCCUGAGAGGAUCUUAGAGAAGUGCAGCACCAUCAUGGUCAACGGCCAGGAGCAGCCCCUGGACAAGAACACAGCCGAGGCCUUCCACACAGCAUACAUGGAGUUGGGAGGCCAGGGGGAGCGUGUGCUUGGUUUCUGUCAUCUCUACCUGCCAGCAGACGAGUUUCCAGAAACUUACACAUUUGAUAUAGACACCAUGAACUUUCCCACAUCUAACUUCUGUUUUGUGGGGCUCUUAUCUAUGAUUGAUCCCCCUCGCUCCACUGUACCUGACGCAGUCACCAAAUGUCAGAGUGCGGGGAUCAAGGUUAUUAUGGUUACAGGUGAUCUUCCAAUCACAGCCAAAGCUAUUGCCAAGAGUGUGGGUAUCAUUUCGGCCAACAGUGAGACGGUGGAAGACAUUGCAAAACGCCUCCACAUUGCUGUGGAGCAAGUUAACAAGCGGGACGCGAAAGCUGCGGUGGUGACUGGCAUGGAGCUGAAGGACAUGAGCCCGGAACAGCUGGAUGAGCUUUUAACCAACUACCCAGAGAUCGUCUUUGCCUGGACAUCCCCCCAGCAGAAGCUGAUCAUCGUGGAGGGCUGUCAAAUGCAGAAUGCAGUUGUCGCCGUGACAGGGGAUGGCGUUAACGACUCUCCAGCUCUAAAGAAGGCAGAUAUUGGGAUUGCCAUGGGGAUAACAGGUUCUGAUGCAGCCAAAAAUGCAGCUGACAUGAUCUUGCUGGAUGACACCUUUGCAUCUAUAGUCACAGGGGUGGAGGAAGGUCGCCUGAUCUUCGACAACCUAAAGAAGACUAUUGCUUACACCCUGACCAAGAACAUUGCUGAGCUGUGCCCCUUUCUGAUCUACACCACUGUUGGGCUUCCCCUGCCCAUUGGCACCAUUACUAUCUUGUUCAUCGACUUGGGCACAGACAUAAUCCCCUCCAUCGCCUUGGCUUAUGAGAAAGCUGAAAGUGACAUCAUGAACAGGAAGCCUCGCCACAAGAAGAAGGACAGACUGGUGAACGAGCAACUUGCCAUGUACUCUUACCUGCACAUUGGCCUCAUGCAAGCCGUGGGAGCUUUCGUGGUGUAUUUCACUGUGUAUGCGCAGGAGGGCUUCAAACCCAGCGCGCUCAUUAACGUCCGGGUGGAAUGGGAAAAUAGCGAUGUGGAUGGCUUGGAAGACAGCUAUGGACAACAGUGGACAUGGUACCAGAGGAAAUACUUAGAAUGGAUGGGCUAUACGGCUUUCUUUGUUGGCAUCAUGGUCCAGCAAACAGCAGAUCUAAUCAUCAGGAAAACCAGGAGGAACUCCAUCUUCCAGCAGGGUCUCUUCAGGUACUUAAAAGUCAUCUGGGUGGGGAUUGCCUCACAGAUUAUCAUUGCAUUAAUCCUCUCCUAUGGGCUUGGAAGUGUCACAGCCCUGAGUUUCACAAUGCUCCGGCCUCAGUAUUGGUUUGUGGCUGUGCCAUUUGCCAUUCUGAUUUGGGUGUAUGAUGAGGUGCGGAAACUUUUCAUUAGACUCUACCCUGGAAGCUGGUGGGAUAAGAACAUGUAUUAUUAAGCCCACCUGACUUCCCAAGCCUCCCAGUUGCACACUGGGGAUGUUCUUCAUCUUCUGGCUGCAUCUGGGAGACUGCUGCAGUAGGGACUUACCAAAAUGCAGAAAGAGAAGGCAGAAAAGAGUAUGAAAGAUACCCACUGAGGUUUUGUACUUUCAAGCAGAUAUUCAACUGUUUAUAUACGAUUUGCUUCUCUAUAUCCAUCUCCUUGUUCAAAAAUAUGUGAAUUUCAAGGGAAGAAUGACAUGUUUAUAUGUAUAUAAAGUUCACUCACGUUAAGUAGUCUUGGGUAAUCCGGCCACCUGCUCAGAUCUUCCUGCUAGAUAAGAUUGCUCAAACCUCCAUUCCAUACCCUAUUAAAAGUCCAGUGACCUUCCUAGAUUCUGUGAAUUCCCAGAGAGCUUAUAAUUUCAUAGUCACCUUGCUUAAAAAGGGUUAAUUCAGCUGAAGGUUUGCAAGAGGUAGAAGUGAUGGCAGGUUUACAUCACAGCAACAUGGACAACCUCAGUUUUGACUCUCAGACAUCCUUCUUUACGGUCCCCAGUCACCUAGCCGCAUCCCUGCUCAUCCCAUCCCUCACCACCUCACCAGUCCUUUGGCGCCCUCCCUCCUCCCAGCUGGACUCCUCCCUCCCUCCCACGUUGCUCUCCACCCCACCACCAACUCCAAAACUGAGCUCCACGUCCAUUUUGCACAUCCCAGCUCCAGAUGCUCUCCCAUCCCAAAGAGGUUUUCAUUUACCAGGAUUCAGCCUCAAUAGAGAAGCACUGGGGUUUAAAACAAUAAUACUUAUUUCAUGUAAAACGGUUGCAAAGCACUCUCCGGCACUAAUUUUAUGCCAGUUAUGUUUCAGGCUUUAACUUCGCUUUAUUCACAUGUGACACAUACAUCCAUGUUGACAGCCCCUAGGAGGCCUCAUUUUUAAGUAAAAGAUGUUUU